GUCACCCCUGGUUCCUAUCCCUCUCCGCGGGAGAGCGCUGGCCUGCACAGCAGCCGGAGGUCGGGGGCAGACAGAUGGGACUGAGCAACCAGACUCUUCGGGUCGCAGCCUGUGCAGGCAUUGGGUUUGAUGCGCUGGCGUGAGUUACGUGCUGCCAGUCAGGGAGCGUGGAGCUUUUUGGGAACUGCAACAGGGGUGUCCAGAGUUCGGAACAAGACCAGUCCCAGGCUUGGCAAGCCGGCUGCUGGCAUGUUCCAUCCUGCUGAUGCAUGCUGUAGGGGCUGCCGCUCCAACCAGGCUCUGUGUGGUAUGCUGCAGUACGGGGGCAGAGGAACAGCACAUGGAACAAACGCUUGCGUGUGAUCCUUACUACUGGCCUCUCUUGGGGUAUGAUGGAUUAGCUUAAACCUGCCCAUAUCAUCCCACAGCACUUGAGCAGCCGGCAGAGUAACCAGCCUCUCGAGGCCAGGCUGGGGCAGAGGGACGGGGAAUCUACAGCAGAUGAGCCCUGGGGAGGAGCAGAGGGAAUAAGCAGAAACCGGCUUGAGCCCACCAGCUGUCCUAGGAGAGUGCUAGAGAAGGCGACAGCCGGUACUGUCAUCCCUGGAGAUGGGCAGCAUCAGCCUCUGCUAGGUGCAGCUGCCCCUCAGCCGGAAGAAGGGAGCUCCACUUGGGUGCUGGCUGUGUGUGAGUGCAGCAGGGAGCGGCUGGGACAUCAGGAUCUCUGCAGAGAGGGCUGAAUUAGGACUUGUUGCUCGCAGGGCUGGUGUCCAAAGGGAUUGCCUGUGUUCUGCUCCCUGACUGGAGCCUAGCAGGUGCGCUGGGACUCUGCACUCUCUCACCGUGUGUGUGGCACAGGAGGGACUAGGCGGUGCCUGCGAUGGGGCGUUUGUGAGGAUUCAGGCUCCUGCCAUGCACCCAACAGGGACCCCGGAUGGUGGCUUUUCUCGGUGUGCUGUGCAGACGCUUUCCCGCAGCCACUGCCGGAACAUCAAACAGAAGAUCUCCCAGUGGGAGGGGAAGACUAGAGGGGGCUGCAGCGAGGACAGACAGCAGCCGAAGGACUUUGGGGUACAGUACGACCAUGGCUGUGAGGCUCUGCCGAAGGCCAAGCCACGGGGCUGUGGGAAUGACGGAAAGGCAGGGCUAGCAAACUCAAAGAGCUUGGGCCUGGACUUCAGGGAAAAGGGCAGGAACCAUUCUCAGAGCGAGGGUGACAGUGAGAGAGAUGGUGAUUGCGGUACCUCAGAGAUCCUCAGGCCCAAAGUGCGCACAUGCUGCCCAAUUUCCCGGGUUGAGGAGAAUGGAGACUGGCAGGGGGGCCUCCUGGACCCAGAGCAGACGCUGCCACCAGGGAACUUCUACACCUCACGAGGGCUGUGGAAGAACAUAGAAGCUGUUCCUCCUGACAAGGUCCUAGCGAUGGCAUUGGAGCUGAAAAGGAAAAGAGAGAGCUGUGGCUCGACAGAGCGAGAACUACAUGCUGGGGGCGUGGAGCCCCUCAAUGUGAUGGAGAGGAGCUUCAAAAACAUUUAUUCGGAGGCCGAGGGACAGGAGACAAGGCGUGCUGCCAUCCCUCCCCCGAAGCCCCGCAGGACUUUCCGCUAUCUGUCAGAAAGGGAUCAAACCAGCUGUAGUAGAGAAAAGCCACUGGAAGGCCAGUGUAAGGAUUCCCCAGUAGGCUCCUCCCAUGAGCCCGAGCAAAGAGAGGCAAACAGGAAAAUCAGAGGGAGAUCCAAGAGGAAAUCCUUUGAGUUUGAAGACAUCCAGGGCUUCCGCAGUCGGAUGGCAGCCACCAGCUCCCAAAAGCUCCAUGAGGAGCUGAAUAGCAGCUCGGGAUCUAGACUCUUCUACACACAGUCAGAGGACAACAUCUAUGAGGACAUUAUCUAUCCUGCUAAGGAGAAUCUGUAUGAAGAUAUCAAAGUGUUGCCUUUACCAUUGUGGAGGGUCCCAUCAGCCUGGAAGUUACCACCCCCAAAGAAUGCCUUCAAGCCUCCCAAGCUCCCUCCCAAGCCUACCUUCCUCCAUCGCAAGACGCUGGAGCUGAAAGCUGCCCGUGCAUGCCUGCGUGGGAAGGACACGACCCUGCCCGUUACGCUGACAGAGUGGAAGCUGUUCCGAGCUGGGGAGGCUGCUGGUAGAAAAAGGAACCUUCCCCAGCUUGUGUUAAAAAUACAGGAGAUCUUUGAGUCUAAACGUGGGAAGAAGAGGGUGAAGUUACUCGCUUAUACAGGGAAAGAAGCUCCACCAGCAAAAGGUGAAACCAGCGGGAAUGAAAGUGAGACGGAGAAUCUGCCGAAAAGUCACCACAAACGCCUGCUGCAAGUACAGUUGACCUCCAAGAGGAACCCGCACUAUCAGACCCUGGAGCGGGAUCUGAUUGAAUUCCAGGAGCAGCAGCUGUUUGAGCUUUUUGUGGUGGUGUCCCUGCAGAAGAAGCAGUCGGAGACGACAUACACCCCACAGGUCAUACAGCAGUUCCCCAGCAAGCCCGAGCAUCCCUUCAGGCAGUCAAAGGAUACCGAGGAGAGGCUAAAGGUCAUCCCCAAGUUCUGCUUUCCAGAUCCCAAAGCCUGGCUUCCAACAUCAGAGCUCAAAAGUGAAACCUUUUCCUUCGUGCUGACAGGCGAGGAUGGCAGCCGCUGGUUCGGUUACUGCAAGAAGCUCUUGCCAGAAGGGAAAGGGAAGCGGCUCCCAGAGGUGUACUGCAUGGUGAGCCGCCUGGGCUGUUUCAACCUCUUCUCCAAGAUUCUGGAUGAGGUAGAGAAGAGGAGAGAGAUGUCCCCAGCCUUGGUGUAUCCAUUCAUGCGCAGUGUCAUGGAGGCCCCUUUCCCUGCUCCCGGACGCACAAUCACUGUGAAGAGCUUCCUGCCAGGAGCAGGAAAUGAGGUAAUUGAACUCUGCCGUCCAUUGGACUCCCGGCUGGAACACGUGGAUUUCGAGCGCUUGUUUAAGUGCCUUAGCGUCUGCCACCUGAUCCAGGUGUGUGCCUCUCUCCUGCUGGAAAGGAGGGUGAUCUUUGUUGCGGACAAUCUGAGCACCUUGUCUAAAUGUGGCCAUGCUGUGGUAGCAACACUUUACCCCUUCACCUGGCAACACACCUACAUUCCUGUUCUACCAGCAUCCAUGAUCGAUAUUGUCUGCUCUCCAACCCCAUUCCUUAUUGGCAUUCUUUCUUGCUCCUUACCGCAGCUGCAGGAUCUGCCCAUAGAAGAGGUACUGAUUGUUGAUCUUUGUGCUGACAGCUUUCUGCAACAGGUGAGUGAAAUAACCUUUCUGAUGGCUGCCCAGCAUGUAGGACAAAGAGUCACUCCAUAGGGCAUCACAGGAUAAAUAUGUGCAAGAAACCCAACCAAGUACCAGCCCAAACAGACCUAGAUCUGCAGGGCUCAAAGGAUAGGACAAAGUGGUGCCUUCCUUCUGAUUCUCUGUUAGAGGGAGAUGGUACUGGCCUGCAAGUUCCAGAGUUUGCAUGGCAUACAUGACCCUCAAUCAAGGUACUACUUACUUGGCUUAUGCUUAGGACUGGCCCAGAUAUCUGUAAGUGCUUUCUCGGUGGAGUAAGAACACUAGGCUUCCGUGUUGCUUUGACCUCACUCUGGCCUUCUGUUCAAGGUAAGGCAGCUCAGAUUCUGAUGUGGAAUGAGAUGGUCGGGCAUUGUAAGGUUGGAAACUGAGGCACGAGUCCACUCAAUUUAGGCUUAAUCAGUUUUUCCCUUUAUAAAUUUUCAAACACAAUAUUGUUAGUUCUAAUUUUUUAUCAUAUAUAUGUAUAAAAAACAGACAGUCAACAGAAAAGACGGAACAGGUAGGAGCCCAUGCUACCGAUUUCCAAGGUACCAGGAAGCUCUUAUACACUUCAUGAUGGUCAUCUCAAUUUCUGGACUGGUGUUCUCCAGCUUGAGCCUUCAUUCACUUGGUUUCUUAUAUCUUUACACAUUACGUUUUCAUUGGCUUUCCUUCAAUCAACACUAUUUAACAUCCUAUAUAGCCAGUUAUACAUUUACCCAAACUUUCAUAAUUUUUUUGUUUUCCAUUCUGUUAUAAAUCAUUAACAGUACAUCAGCAUUAAACUAACAAAAUGUAACCCUUUAUUUUCUACCAUUCAGCAAUUUUCUUCAUAGUUUAAUAUUACAAUUAAGUAUAUAUGAAUCAUCCUAAAUUAUUCAUUAACAUAACCUUUACUUUUUACUUGAGUAGGAAAGUUAUGGGGAACAACAUGAUCUUAAUAUCAGCAUAUUAUCUUUUUUCCAAGCAUGAGUUUUCAGGGGACUUUUUGCUUAUAGUUUAGCAUCACACUUUUAAGUCAUUAAAAAGCCUUGUCAGUAAUUUUGCCAGUUGCAUUUUGAGGUGCUUUAUUCCGUUUAGGGCCUAGAGAUAUUUGUUUCCCAACAGUUUUCCUGCCUGUGUUUUGGCCUCCCUUCUAUUCUGGGCAUUUGUUCUCCACAAGGUUUCUAUCCUUGUUGUCUAGUCAGUUAGUUUCCUAGAUUUGGUUUUUUUGAAAAAACACUACUGCUCACUUGAUUUUAUGCUAGUCUCAAAUAUUCUCUAUUGUUUGAAAAAUGCUUUGAGAUCCUCAAAUGAGAGUUGCUGUAUAUACAUGGUAGAGUAUUGUUUAGCGUGUGUGUAACAAUUCCCUAGGUAGAAAUAAAGCAUUAUGAUUUGGGACUAGUGGUCAUAGUGCAUUCUCUCAGCUGUUUGUUAAUUUUAGAAUGCUGGAUAUUCCACUUGAUUAUAGUUCCUUUUCAAAUAAUAUCACUUCACUAGCACUUCACACUUUAGUGCCAUACAAAUUUGGCUAAGCAUUUUGACACCCCAGGAGGCAACUCUGUAUUAUCCCCAAAAGAAGGGGAAACUGAGGCAGGGAGGUUUAAGUAACUUUCCUGAUCUCAGUUAUUCUUGGUUCACAGGACAAUAUUUCCCAUUUUUUCUUUGACUUAGGUUUAUAAAGUCCUACAGAGACUAUAAAUGUCCUUGCGGAAGCAAUUCCAUUUCCAUUAUGGUACUGAUAUGAUCUUAUUGCCUUUUUUCCCCCGUUGAGAAUUCUCUCUUUGACUCACUGUUCUACUUUGCAUUGCAGCCAGCACAUGGAUUCUGAUAGACACAGGUAUCAGACGAGGAUGAGAUCCUACCUCAUAAACUCCAGGCCGCGCUUGUACAGAUUUUGGAGGAACGAAAUGAAAUUUUGUCCCAGGAGCAGAUUUACGCACAAG